AUUGAACGCUGGCGGCAGGCCUAACACAUGCAAGUCGAACGGUAACAGGAAGCAGCUUGCUGCUUCGCUGACGAGUGGCGGACGGGUGAGUAAUGUCUGGGAAACUGCCUGAUGGAGGGGGAUAACUACUGGAAACGGUAGCUAAUACCGCAUAACGUCGCAAGACCAAAGAGGGGGACCUUAGGGCCUCUUGCCACCGGAUGUGCCCAGAUGGGAUUAGCUAGUAGGUGGGGUAACGGCUCACCUAGGCGACGAUCCCUAGCUGGUCUGAGAGGAUGACCAGCCACACUGGAACUGAGACACGGUCCAGACUCCUACGGGAGGCAGCAGUGGGGAAUAUUGCACAAUGGGCGCAAGCCUGAUGCAGCCAUGCCGCGUGUAUGAAGAAGGCCUUCGGGUUGUAAAGUACUUUCAGCGGGGAGGAAGGGAGUAAAGUUAAUACCUUUGCUCAUUGACGUUACCCGCAGAAGAAGCACCGGCUAACUCCGUG
rnacentral:rRNA from 1 species